rnacentral:rRNA from 1 species
ACAGUUGUUAAAGUACAAGCGCCUGAAGAUGAGCCUGCGGUCCAUUAGCUAGUUGGUAGAGUAACAGCCUACCAAGGCAACGAUGGAUAGCUGGUCUGAGAGGAUGAUCAGCCACACUGGAACUGAGACACGGUCCAGACUCCUACGGGAGGCAGCAGUAAGGAAUAUUGCUCAAUGGCCGAAAGGCUGAAGCAGCAACGCCGCGUGAAGGAUGAAUGGCCUUUGGCCUGUAAACUUCUGUAAAAGGGAAAACAAUCAGGCAUGUCCUGAUUUGAUUGUACCUUUGAAGUAAGCCCCGGCUAACUACGUG